GCACCGAUGGUGUGUGGCACACCCGCCGAUACCAUGACGGAGAUGGGCCACAAUGGCAUGUCAACGGCGGACUGGGGUUCGAUUCCCCGUCGGUGCA